CGGCAAUUUCAUGCAAGGUUUCAUCCGCAUUUCAAUGACAAUCACCCCUAACUCCCUUGAUCCUCAACGCGGCUCUUAAGCAAAAAUGAGAGAAGUGCAUGUGAGAAAUCCUGAUCCAGCAGGGAGGAAGGCCAGUCAGAGGCAUAAAGACAAGGAAGGGACCUACAUUACUACCAUCUGUUGUUACCUUCUGCAGAAGCACUUUAUCUAAACAGACAGUGGAAGCACAGAUUCAACAAGAAUGAGAGAAUCAAAGAUUCAGGAGUGUGUCACUACUCAGUUCUGAGGCGGAUUGGAAAGAGGGCUUGGAGCCAGAUUUGAUUUUUGGUAUUGCCAAGAUUGCUGGAGUGAGCCCACAGACUUGUGUGGUAUUGUGACCUCCCCAUCUACAGGGCACAGGCACCACACCUGUGUCUGUGUGAGCCAGCAUAGUGAGGGCUGUGCAGAACUCAGAGUGUGGCUGGAUGAUGGCUGCAAUGGCAAAGGGCAAUUGCCAAGCCACCAGGCCAAGCAGCACAGGGACACUGUGAACAGGGAUGGAUGCCUGGGGAGGUUUCAGAUGCAGAAACCUAUCAAACUUUCCAAAGCCAGCGACAGCUGGACGCCACACUGAAUUUCUUGACUCUGCAGAGGUCACACCCCGGUCCAUAACCACCACAGGCCAAGCAAAUCCUACACUUGGAGACCACAGUAACUUCUGACCCACAGCUUGCAGGGGAAGCCUCUUAUGCUCAGCCACGUACCCAAAUUCAUGUCAUGUCUCCAUGCUCAUUUUUAACACAAUUCUCUUCCUUAUCCAUCCCCUUGCCUGUGGGUUUCUUGCUGCAAGUUCUUGCUAAGACACUGAGAGAGGACAGAGCUGAGAGGCACUCACAGGACCCACUGAGGGGGCUUUCAGUCCUUGGCCACCUCAACAUCCCACCACUCUGAGCAAUGCCUCUGCCUCUCUCCAAAUCAGCCUUCUGGCAGAAUACUUCCAGAAACAAGCCUCUAGUCUCAGCUGGGGAAUUACAGACAGUGUUCAAGCCACCCAGAACUAAAUUAUUCAAAAUACACCACUGUGCUGGCUUUGAAACCAGAGCCGCUCCCCAGAAAGAAGCCAGGGUAAAUAAAAGCUCCAUUACCAGCACCACUGACAGGGAAGGAGAUGCAGCACUUAAAGUGAGGGAGAUAAUUACAUGAUUAACGAGACAGUAUGGGUGGCAGGAGAUGCCCUCCAUUACACCACAAGGCUUAAUGCAAAGAGACAUGUUUAUAGACUGAACCUUCUCCAGCUCUGCUUCUUCCUGUUUUAUUAUUUAUGGCAGUGCAUUAAGAGUACUGCAAAGAAGCUGAGGCACUCUAAAAAAUCGCAGGUGGGGUUUUUCAGGUGAAAAUAUUAUCUUUAAUCUUGAUCCAGCACUGACCAUGCUGCACAUUCCUACAUGGGCAGUUGUCUCAGCUCCAGUAACAGGCUGGGCAGGCUGUGACCCAGACAGGAGAGUCACGUAUCCAACAGCACAGCCCAAGCUCUGGAGCUGUCCCUCAUUCCUGAGAUUGUGGACAAGAUGAAGUCAACAAGAGACCACCUAAGGAUUGGUGUGACCAAACUUACACGAACAGUUAAAAUAUUUUCUUCAAUCCUGAGGCAAGGGGUUUAUAACUUCGCAGAACUGCUUGUCAGCACUGGCCCCAACAUUCUUAAUGUACAAAUGCCCAAUCUCUUGCUCUCCCUUUUGAAUUCCUCCAGUUUUUAGGCCUCCACAAUCUCCUGAAGCAAUGAGU